rnacentral:lncRNA from 1 species
UUAUGUAUUUUUUGUGAUAAUGGCCAAAUUGAAGAUGAAAAACACUUUCUUUUUAAUUGUUGUUUUUACUCUGAUAUCAGACAUGAAUUAUAUGCCAAAGCCUGUCUUUUAAUUGUUGAUUUUGAGUAUUUAUGUGAUAUUGAAAAACUUCGUUAUCUUAUGUGUAAUGAGAAUAUUGGUUCCUAUUUUAGCUAGUUCCCUUUAUUAUAUGUUUUGUCGACAAAAAUGUCAUCUAG